CUCUCAAACACUCCUCUCACUCCCUCACUCUCCCACCGGUGCCACUCUAUACCACCAUUUCCACUAUAAUUUUUCCAGCAAGAUCACCGAAAAAUCCUUAAGAACCUCUAAGCACCUUCACAUCUUUUAUUUAAGGUCAGUGCCCUUUCACUUUGAAUGACGCGUUUUUCACUGUUGCCCAUGGGGGGAAGAGGUUUCUUGAUUGUGUAUGAGUGAGGCUGUUGCCCAUCGGGCCAAAAGCCACAUGCAAAAGAGGUCUUAUUUGACGUGUUCUCCCUACUACCCAUUAGAGGAGAGACAAAACCUUGAGGGUAUGGGUAAGGCUACUGCCCAUGGGGUCAAGAGACUGCAUACCAGAGAGGACAAUAUCAUGCCAGUUAUGCAUGGAUGGAUCCCCUGACUAGUCUAUGUGGUAGUUUGGUAUAUUUGUGAUAAUUUGCCUUAUGUUAGAUUUUAUGGCUUCAAAAAUUAUAUUGUCAGUGCUCACAAAUUAUAGUAUAUAGUUUCAGGGUAUUUACUUUGAGAAACUUUGUAUUUCAUUAUUCAAUCAUUCUUGUCAUAUUAUUAUUAUUCAAAAUAA